UACGUAGGGGGCUAGCGUUGUCCGGAAUCAUUGGGCGUAAAGCGCGUGUAGGCGGUCCGGUAAGUCCGCUGUGAAAGUCGGGGGCUCAACCCUCGGAUGCCGGUGGAUACUGUCGGGCUUGAGUACGGAAGAGGCGAGUGGAAUUCCUGGUGUAGCGGUGAAAUGCGCAGAUAUCAGGAGGAACACCAAUUGCGAAGGCAGCUCGCUGGGACGUUACUGACGCUGAGGCGCGAAAGCGUGGGGAGCGAACAGG
rnacentral:rRNA from 1 species